UCCCACGAGCUGAGAAUUUCCAAACCCUCGCGCUUCCUGCCUCCCCCUCCCUCCCGGCGAGGCCGCCAUGCUCGCUGCCGCCGCCAGCUCCCUCAGCCGCCUCUCCUCCUCCUCCGCCGUCCGCGCCCUCCGCCGCGUCCUCCUCCACGCUCCCCCACUCCCGCCCUCGGCUUCGCCUCCCCUCCCGCCUCUCCGAGCCCUGACCCGCGCCCUCCUCCCGCACCUCGCCGCCGCCCCCCGCUUCUCCACUGCCUCCUGCUCUUCUCCUCCUUCCCGCAUAGGUGAAUGCGGCGGCGCUCAGGGAAUCCCGGCGAUACCCGAGGAGGCGGAGGGGGACGGGGCUGAGGAGGAGGCGCAGGCGGAGGCGCUGGUGCGGCGUGACACGGACGCGUACGCGGCGGUGGAGCUGGCGCUGGACUCGGUGGUCAAGGUGUUCACGGUGUCCAGCAGCCCCAAUUACUUCCUUCCGUGGCAGAACAAGGCGCAGCGGGAGAGCAUGGGCUCUGGAUUUAUAAUUCCUGGAAGAAGGAUCAUGACAAAUGCUCAUGUGGUAGCUGAUCAUACUUUUGUUCUCGUGAGGAAGCAUGGUUCGCCUACUAAGUACAAGGCGGAAGUCCAGGCUGUUGGUCACGAGUGUGACUUGGCUCUCUUGACGGUUGAGAGUGGGGAGUUUUGGGAUGGGAUGAACAGUCUGGAGCUUGGAGACAUUCCCUUUUUGCAAGAAGCCGUCGCAGUGGUUGGCUACCCUCAAGGUGGAGACAAUAUUUCUGUCACCAAGGGGGUUGUCUCUAGAGUUGAACCAACACAAUAUGCCCAUGGUGCUACUCAGCUCAUGGCUAUACAAAUAGAUGCAGCAAUCAAUCCAGGUAAUAGUGGAGGGCCUGCGAUUAUGGGUGAUAAAGUAGCUGGAGUUGCUUUCCAGAAUUUGUCAGGGGCGGAAAACAUUGGUUAUAUCAUACCGGUGCCCGUAAUUAAGCGUUUCAUUUCUGGAGUAGAAAAGAGCGGCAAAUAUUCUGGGUUUUGUACUCUUGGAAUAUCUUGCCAGGCCACUGAAAAUAUUCAAUUAAGAGAGUGUUUUGGGAUGCGGCCUGAAAUGACUGGAGUGUUAGUUAGUAGAAUAAAUCCUCUAUCUGAUGCUUACAGGAUUUUGAAGAAAGAUGACAUCCUUCUUGAGUUCGAUGGCGUGCCUAUAGCAAAUGAUGGGACAGUCCCAUUCCGUAAUAGAGAGAGGAUCACCUUUGAUCAUCUGGUGUCCAUGAAGAAACCUGAAGAAACAGCCGUUCUCAAAGUAUUAAGAGAUGGUAAAGAGCAAGAAUUGAGUGUCACACUUAGACCUCUACAACCUUUAGUCCUGGUUCAUCAAUUCGAUAAACUACCCAGCUACUACAUAUUUGCUGGUUUUGUAUUUAUCCCACUAACCCAGCCUUAUCUCCAUGAAUUUGGAGAAGACUGGUAUAACGCCUCGCCACGCCGAUUAUGUGAACGUGCGCUAAGAGAGCUUCCGAAGAAGGCUGGGGAACAACUAGUUAUCCUAUCUCAGGUUCUCAUGGAUGAUAUCAAUGUCGGUUACGAAAGGCUUUCCGAGCUGCAGGUAAAAAAGGUGAAUGGUGUGGAGGUUGAAAACUUGAAGCACUUGUGCAGCCUUGUGGAAGGCUGCACCGAAGACAACUUGAGAUUCGAUUUGGACGAUGAGAGGGUCAUCGUCCUCAAGUACCGGAACGCAAGGCUUGCCACGUCCCGGGUCCUCAAGCGGCACAGGAUACCAUCGGCUAUGUCGAGUGAUCUUGUCGAAGAGCAAUCGACUAAUGGUGAGAUCGAGGCAUCAUGCACCAGCUAACGCGGGGGUUUUCUGUCGACAUAGCUCAGGAGUUCCCUGCGGCAGCACAGAUCUGAGGAGCACACUUCAUUUUCGUGAGGCGGAUGCGUCUGCCUGAGACCUGCGGAGCUGUACAAUGGCUGCGGUCGCUCCUGCUUAGCCGUUUCAGGUCUGGCGCUAGGAGGGUCCUCCGCAAAUAAGAUCAAUGACCGCCGGAGCUUUUCAGCCUGACAUACCAUUCUUUUUGCCUCAAUACCAAUCAUUCUUUUUCGUCAUCAUAAGGGCGUCGGAGUGGCGUCCCGAUAUUGAAUUCAGAUCAUGCAUCGUGUAUGAUCAGGAAACAUGGCAUAGGAAAAAUGAGUUGUCGCUCAAUGUCUCUACCAGUUGUACAUGGUACUGAUAAGUUCGUACUUCGAUACUUGCCAUGUUGGAAAAAUAAGAGCCUUGCUGCCACGUGGAGAAGAUCGUGACUGCAGUCGUGGAGUCCGAUCAUUUAUGGACCUGGGCCUAUUGGGUCGCAUCGUCUCUCCCCUUGUAUAGGCGACUUUUCUUUAUUUUUAUAUAUUUAUAUUCUAAUAUUUGUAAAAAUAUAUGGUCAUUUAAAAAUAUUGCAUAUCUA